AAUUGGAGCGUAAAGUGGGUGGUAAAUUUCAUCUAAAGCUAAAUAUAGGCUUGAGACCGAUAGCAAACAAGUACCAUGAGGGAAAGAUGAAAAGGACUUUGAAAAGAGAGUUAAAAGUGCUUGAAAUCGCUGAAAGGGAAGCGAAUGGAACCAGUCUUCUGGCUGAGAUUGUUGCGUGCUACUGUGAUGCCUGGCUGCUUCAACGCAAGUGUGGCAGUUAGAGUUGAUCAGCUGUGCGUGAUGUUUCUCAGCUUGUUAGUCAACCUUUGUUCGUGCUUGGGGAUAACUGCAGGUUCCAUGCUCUUCCCUGCGGGGUUGAUCUCGUGCCUGUAAGGACUCAGGUGUGUACACUUGGUGACAAAAUGGUUCUCUUCGACCCGUCUUGAAACACGGACCAAGGAGUCUAGCACAUGUGCAAGUUCACAGGUGGCAAGCCUGCUUGCGCAAUGAAGGUGACUGCUGGGAUAUUUGCACCAGCAACCGACCAAUCAAUUGAGAGAAGUUUGAGUAUGAGCAUAUGUGUUAGG
rnacentral:rRNA from 1 species